UACGUAGGGUGCGAGCGUUAAUCGGAAUUACUGGGCGUAAAGCGUGCGCAGGCGGUGCUGUAAGACCGAUGUGAAAUCCCCGGGCUUAACCUGGGAACUGCAUUGGUGACUGCAGCGCUGGAGUGUGGCAGAGGGGGGUGGAAUUCCACGUGUAGCAGUGAAAUGCGUAGAGAUGUGGAGGAACACCGAUGGCGAAGGCAGCCCCCUGGGUUAACACUGACGCUCAGGCACGAAAGCGUGGGGAGCAAACAGG
rnacentral:rRNA from 1 species